CUUAGUGGCGAACGGGUGAGUAACGCGUGAGUAACCUGCCCUAGAGUGGGGGACAACAGUUGGAAACGACUGCUAAUACCGCAUAAUGUAUCCGGGAGGCAUCUCCUGGAUACCAAAGGAGAAAUCCGCUGAUGGAUGGGCUCACGUCUGAUUAGCUAGUUGGUGAGGUAACGGCUCACCAAGGCUGCGAUCAGUAGCCGGACUGAGAGGUUGAACGGCCACAUUGGGACUGAGAUACGGCCCAGACUCC
rnacentral:rRNA from 1 species